rnacentral:rRNA from 1 species
GAUGAACGCUGGCGGCGUGCCUAAUACAUGCAAGUCGAGCGAACGGACGAGAAGCUUGCUUUUCUGAUGUUAGCGGCGGACGGGUGAGUAACACGUGGAUAACCUACCUAUAAGACUGGGAUAAAUUCGGGAAACCGGAGCUAAUACCGGAUAAUAUUUUGAACCGCAUGGUUCAAAAGUGAAAGACGGUCUUGCUGUCACUUAUAGAUGGAUCCGCGCUGCAUUAGCUAGUUGGUAAGGUAACGGCUUACCAAGGCAACGAUGCAUAGCCGACCUGAGAGGGUGAUCGGCCACACUGGAACUGAGACACGGUCCAGACUCCUACGGGAGGCAGCAGUAGGGAAUCUUCCGCAAGGGGCGAAAGCCUGACGGAGCAACGCCGCGUGAGUGAUGAAGGUCUUCGGAUCGUAAAACUCUGUUAUUAGGGAAGAACAUAUGUGUAAGUAACUGUGCACAUCUUGACGGUACCUAAUCAGAAAGCCACGGCUAACUACGUG